GACGAACGCUGGCGGCGUGCUUAACACAUGCAAGUCGAACGGAAAGGCCCUGCUUUUGUGGGGUGCUCGAGUGGCGAACGGGUGAGUAACACGUGAGUAACCUGCCCUUGACUUUGGGAUAACUUCAGGAAACUGGGGCUAAUACCGGAUAGGAGCUCCUGCUGCAUGGUGGGGGUUGGAAAGUUUCGGCGGUUGGGGAUGGACUCGCGGCUUAUCAGCUUGUUGGUGGGGUAGUGGCUUACCAAGGCUUUGACGGGUAGCCGGCCUGAGAGGGUGAACGGCCACAAUGGGACUGAGAUACGGCCCCGACUCCUACGGGAGGCAGCAGUGGGGAAUAUUGCACAAUGGGCGGAAGCCUGAUGCAGCAACGCCGCGUGCGGGAUGACGGCCUUCGGGUUGUAAACCGCUUUCGCCUGUGACGAAGCGUGAGUGACGGUAAUGGGUAAAGAAGCACCGGCUAGCUACGUG
rnacentral:rRNA from 1 species